rnacentral:rRNA from 1 species
GACGAACGUUGGCGGCGUGCUUAACACAUGCAAGUCGAACGGAAAGGCCCUGCUUCUGUGGGUUUCUCGAGUGGCGAAAGGUUGAGUAACACGUGAGUAACCUUCCCUUAACUUUGGGAUAUAUUAAUGAAACUAGGACUAAUACCGGGAAGGAGCUCCUGCUGCAUAGUGGGGGUUGGAUAGUUUCGCCGGGUGGGGAUGGACUCGCGGCUUAUCAGAUUAUUGGUGGGGUAGUGUUUUACAAAGGCUUUGACGGGUAGGCGGACUGAGAGGUUGACCGGAAACAUUGGGCCUGCGAUGCGACACAGACUUCUACAGUAGAUAGCAGAGGGGAUUAUUGCACUAUGGACGGAAGCCUGAUACAGCAACACCGCGCACGGGAAGCAGACCUUCGGGUUGUAAACCGCUUCCGCCUGCGAAGAAGCGCGAGUGACGGUAAUGGGUAAAGAAGCACCGGCUAACUACGUG